rnacentral:rRNA from 1 species
UACAGAGGGUGCAAGCGUUAAUCGGAAUUACUGGGCGUAAAGCGCGCGUAGGCGGUCAAGUAAGAUGGGUGUGAAAUCCCCGGGCUCAACCUGGGAACUGCAUCCAUAACUGCUUGACUAGAGUACAGUAGAGGGUGGUGGAAUUUUCUGUGUAGCGGUGAAAUGCGUAGAUAUAGGAAGGAACACCAGUGGCGAAGGCGACCACCUGGACUGAUACUGACGCUGAGGUGCGAAAGCGUGGGGAGCAAACAGG